rnacentral:rRNA from 1 species
CAGUCGAGCGGAACGAGUUAUCUGAACCUUCGGGGAACGAUAACGGCGUCGAGCGGCGGACGGGUGAGUAAUGCCUAGGAAAUUGCCCUGAUGUGGGGGAUAACCAUUGGAAACGAUGGCUAAUACCGCAUGAUGCCUACGGGCCAAAGAGGGGGACCUUCGGGCCUCUCGCGUCAGGAUAUGCCUAGGUGGGAUUAGCUAGUUGGUGAGGUAAGGGCUCACCAAGGCGACGAUCCCUAGCUGGUCUGAGAGGAUGAUCAGCCACACUGGAACUGAGACACGGUCCAGACUCCUACGGGAGGCAGCAGUGGGGAAUAUUGCACAAUGGGCGCAAGCCUGAUGCAGCCAUGCCGCGUGUGUGAAGAAGGCCUUCGGGUUGUAAAGCACUUUCAGUCGUGAGGAAGGUGGUGUAGUUAAUAGCUGCAUUAUUUGACGUUAGCGACAGAAGAAGCACCGGCUAACUCCGUGCCAGCCGC